rnacentral:tRNA from 2 species
GCCCGGAAAGCUCAGUCGGUAGAGCAUCAGACUUUUAAUCUGAGGGUUCAGGGUUCAAGUCCCUGUUCGGGCG